rnacentral:lncRNA from 1 species
GACGCGAGGAACGAUACUUCCCAAAGCAACUCGCGGAUCCGGGGCCGGGAAACGGCCCAAAACGGGCCCGAACCAGCUGGAAACCCAUUUCGUGGGUUUCUGCCCUUGGCUGGUCAGAGCAGAUCUGGCGGCCAAAACGGCGAGGGAAGGCCGGCGAAGGACGAGGGGGACGCCGGGGAAGUCCGGCGGGGCUGGGCGGUGGCCAGAGGUGGCCGGACGGUGGCUGGUCGGUGCGGAACAGGGGCGAAACAGGGCUGAUUCGUGCGGCCUGGGCGUGCGCGGACGGCGGUGCGGCG